GCUACUUUUGUACAACGAAAACAAUUUCGGUUACGCGAGUGCUUCGAUUUUCGCGCUAAAUACCUCAAAACGAGCGGCAUUUUGUGUCCGAUAAUUUUCAGUUUUUCACCCCGGGUCUUUUACUAUUAGAUUUGUUUGUCGACGUCCGAAUCGCUCCGUUCAGAACCGUUUCGCGACGGCGUAUCGUCGCGUAUCGCCACCAUCCCCGGGAGCGGUACGGACUCAAUUUUUUUCGACCGUUUCGCCGGGGCUGUUACGA